rnacentral:rRNA from 1 species
UCCGUAGGUGAACCUGCGGAAGGAUCAUUAAACCUUAUACUUCGGGGGCCGGCGUUGAAUAGCAGUUCCAUUGCGGAUCAGCUUUUCUCCCCGCCCUGUCUGAACAUUACCCAUGCUUUUUGCGUACCCAUUGUUUCCUCGGCAGGCUUGCCUGCCAGCAGGACCCCUUUAAAACCUUUUGCAAUUGCAGUCAGCGUCAGAAAAAAACUUAAUAGUUACAACUUUCAACAACGGAUCUCUUGGUUCUGGCAUCGAUGAAGAACGCAGCGAAAUGCGAUAAGUAGUGUGAAUUGCAGAAUUCAGUGAAUCAUCGAAUCUUUGAACGCACAUUGCGCCCUUUGGUAUUCCAAAGGGCAUGCCUGUUCGAGCGUCAUUUGUACCCUCAAGCUUUGCUUGGUGUUGGGCGUCUUGUCUCCAGUCCGCUGGAGACUCGCCUUAAAGUCAUUGGCAGCCGGCCUACUGGUUUCGGAGCGCAGCACAAGUCGCGCUCUUUUCCAGCCAAGGUCAGCGUCCAACAAGCCUUUUUUCAACUUUGACCUCGGAUCAGGUAGGGAUACCCGCUGAACUUAAGCAUAUCAAUAAGCGGGAGGGGAAGGUCGGACUGGCCAAGGGCACACAGGGGGGGGAUA